UACGGAGGGUGCAAGCGUUAUCCGGAUUUAUUGGGUUUAAAGGGUCCGUAGGCGGAUCUGUAAGUCAGUGGUGAAAUCUCACAGCUCAACUGUGAAACUGCCAUUGAUACUGCAGGUCUUGAGUGUUGUUGAAGUAGCUGGAAUAAGUAGUGUAGCGGUGAAAUGCAUAGAUAUUACUUAGAACACCAAUUGCGAAGGCAGGUUACUAAGCAACAACUGACGCUGAUGGACGAAAGCGUGGGGAGCGAACAGG
rnacentral:rRNA from 1 species